rnacentral:lncRNA from 1 species
AUAAAUUCGGUUCGGCUAGAUUGAGCCGAAUGUACAGAAAACACAAGAUCUGGGGUCGGCUGAUGAGCCGAAUAGAUGGUCGGCUGAUGAGCCGAAUAGAUGGAAUACACAGUGACUGAUCGGCUGAAAGAGCCGAAUGCAUUUAUAUAUUAAAAUAAAGUUGGAAACUCAUAUAAAACAGAGUGUGCCCAAAGGGCAUACAGACUCUGAAAAUCUAGUUUACAAAAGAGUGUGCCCGUGGGGUAUACAGACUCUAGAGAUCUAACUUAAAAACUACUCCUAGGAAAGCAGUAAAUACAAAAAAGGAAAGAUAUGAAAUGUGGUGGUCUUCUCGUUCAGGGGAGAGAAAGACCCCUAUUACAGGCUUUGAAGUUACUAUUUAUAGUGAUGUUUUCUCAGCCCAUAUUAUUGGCCGGUUUUUAGUAGUGGGGGAAGUGGUGUAGACAUGAUCUUAGAAGUUACACCCCACUUCUCAUGAAAGUUAUGCCCCACUUUUCAACCGUUUCCACCUAAAUGCUCUUGACCUUCAGGCGCCUUAUUGCUGUCUCCUGGUGUACUACGUGUUCUUGUUUCUUUGGCUCAUACGU